GGCAAGCUCAAGAAGGAGAAAAUUCUUAAAACAUUUUUUGCCUGGUUUAAUUUAUUCAUUAAAAUUUCGAAGUUUAUUGGAAGUAAAUUAGGAAAGACAAGACAUGAAUGAGUAAACUUUAAGAAGAGUCAAGCUUUUUCUGGAUUUAAACGGCAUUUUCAUGAGAAACCAAUUGUCCACAUGAUUAAAUCGCAUCUUCAAAUGGAAAGCUUACCUAGGGUGCACCAGAGAAGAGUGUUGUGGAUUGCAAACAAGCCAGUUGGACAAAAGUGUGCCAAAAAAGAAGAGGAGGAGAUGAGAAGAAACUAGUCACAAGUUGGAUUAAAUGAGAAUUGGUGCCACAGUUGACCUAAAAGUAUCCAACUCUUCCUUAGAUUUUUGCAGUUUAGGGACUUCAAGUUCAGAACUGAAAGGCAGAGCCAGUAGGUAACAAUGUGGAGCCCAGGGAAAGAAGUUCAAGCUUUAUCACAUUCCAUAGAAUUACAGCCACAUUCAUAUUUAAACGAGCUCAUUUUCUGCUCCCUCCAGUUCGGGGGGUGGGGGGGG